rnacentral:rRNA from 1 species
GAUGAACGCUGGCGGCGUGCCUAAUACAUGCAAGUCGAGCGAACGGACGAGAAGCUUGCUUCUCUGAUGUUAGCGGCGGACGGGUGAGUAACACGUGGAUAACCUACCUAUAAGACUGGGAUAACUUCGGGAAACCGGAGCUAAUACCGGAUAAUAUUUUGAACCGCAUGGUUCAAAAGUGAAAGACGGUGUUGCUGUCACUUAUAGAUGGAUCCGGGCUGCUUUAGCUAGUUGGUAAGGUCACGGCUUACCAAGGCGACGAUGCAUAGCCGACGUGACAGGGUGAUCGGCCACACGGGAACUGGGACACGGUCCAGGCGCCUACGGGAGGCAGCAGUAGGGAAUCUGCCGCAAUGGGCGAAAGCCUGACGGAGCAACGCCGCGUGAGCGAUGGAAGUCUUCGGAUCGUAAAACUCUGUUAUUAGGGAAGAACAGAUGUGUAAGUAGCUGUGCACAUCUUGACGGUACCUAAUCAGAAAGCCACGGCUAACUACGUG